GUCAUAUGCUUGUCUCAAAGAUUAAGCCAUGCAUGUCUCAGUACAAGCCAAAUUAAGGUGAAACCGCGAAAGGCUCAUUAAAUCAGUUAUGGUUCCUUAGAUCGUACCCACAAUUACUUGGAUAACUGUGGUAAUUCUAGAGCUAAUACAUGCAAACAGAGCUCCGACCGGAGACGGAAGGAGUGCUUUUAUUAGAUCAAAACCAAUCGGUGGCGGGUUCGCUCGUCAUCGUACAACUUGGUGACUCUGAAUAACUUUACGCUGAUCGCACGGUCAUCGCACCGGCGACGCAUCUUUCAAAUGUCUGCCUUAUCAACUGUCGAUGGUAGGUUCUGCGCCUACCAUGGUCGUAACGGGUAACGGGGAAUCAGGGUUCGAUUCCGGAGAGGGAGCCUGAGAAACGGCUACCACAUCCAAGGAAGGCAGCAGGCGCGCAAAUUACCCACUCCCGGCACGGGGAGGUAGUGACGAAAAAUAACGAUACGGGACUCAUCCGAGGCCCCGUAAUCGGAAUGAGUACACUCUAAACCCUUUAACGAGGAUCAAUUGGAGGGCAAGUCUGGUGCCAGCAGCCGCGGUAAUUCCAGCUCCAAUAGCGUAUAUUAAAGUUGUUGCGGUUAAAAAGCUCGUAGUCGAAUUUGUGUCUCGCGCCGCCGGUUCAUCGUCCGCGGUGUUAACUGGCGAGUCGCGAGACGUCCUGCCGGUGGGCUUAGCUCGCGAGGGCGGCCCAACUCAAUCCUGCCGCGGUGCUCUUCAUUGAGUGUCGAGGUGGGCCGGCACGUUUACUUUGAACAAAUUAGAGUGCUUAAAGCAGGCUAAAACUUCGCCUGAAUACUGUGUGCAUGGAAUAAUGGAAUAGGACCUCGGUUCUAUUUUGUCGGUUUUCGGAACCCCGAGGUAAUGAUUAAUAGGAACGGAUGGGGGCAUUCGUAUUGCGACGUUAGAGGUGAAAUUCUUGGAUCGUCGC
rnacentral:rRNA from 1 species